UACGUAGGUGGCAAGCGUUGUCCGGAAUUAUUGGGCGUAAAGCGCGCGCAGGCGGUCCUUUAAGUCUGAUGUGAAAGCCCACGGCUCAACCGUGGAGGGUCAUUGGAAACUGGGGGACUUGAGUACAGAAGAGAAGAGUGGAAUUCACGGUGUAGCGGUGAAAUGCGUAGAGAUGUGGAGGAACACCAGUAGGCGAAGGCGACUCUUGGUCUGUAACUGACGCUGAGGCGCGAAAGCGUUGGGGAGCAA
rnacentral:rRNA from 1 species